rnacentral:rRNA from 1 species
CUUAUAGACCUUCCUGGAGGAGCUUGCUAUUUUAACCGAUAAUCCACGUAAUACCUCACCAACUUUUGAACCUACAGCCUGUAUACCAUCGUCGUCAGUCUACUCCACAAGGAAAGUAUACAAAAGGAACAAAUGUUCACAACGCCAGAUCGAGGUGCAGCUUAUAAGUUGGGAAUCAGUGGGCUACAAUAUUCUUACAAUAGAAAUAAUAUUAUGGAAGGAUAAAUGAACACUUUAUCCCUAAAUAGGAUUCAGAAGUAACGAUUAAAAGAUAAUAAUCGUGAACUUUAAGCUCUAUAAUUCGC